CGGGCCCCUUACGAAGAAAUCAAAGCACCUGGCCUCCCCGGGGGGGAGUAUUGGUUCGCAAGGCUGAAACUUAAAAGAAAAUUGACGGAUAGGGCCCCCACCAGGGGGGUGGGAACCUGCGGCUUAAAUUUGGACUCAACCCCGGGGAAAACCUCACCAGGUCCCAGACACAAAUAAGGGAUUGACAGAUUGAGAGCUCUUUUCUUUGAUUUUGUGGGUGGUGGUGCAUGGCCCGUUCUUAGUUGGUGGGGUGACUUGUCUGCUUAAUUGCGAUAACGAACGAGACCUUAACCUGCUAAAUAGCCCGCAUUGCUCCGGCAGUGCGCUGGCUUCUUAGAGGGACUUUCGGCUCAAGCCGAAGGAAGUUUGAGGCAAUAACAGGUCUGUGAUGCCCUUAGAUGUUCUGGGCCGCACGCGCGCUACACUGACGGGGUCAGCGAGUUCCUUGGCCGAAAGGCCCGGGUAAUCUUGUUAGCCCCCGUCGUGCUGGGGAUGGAGCAUUGCAAUUAUUGCUCUUCAACGAGGAAUCCCUAGUAAGCGCAAGUCAUCAGCUUGCGUUGAUUACGUCCCUGCCCUUUGCCCUCGCCGCCCGUC
rnacentral:rRNA from 1 species